CCCCAGCCAGCAGCAGCAAACUACUUGGGUCCCCUUUCACACUGUGGAAGCUUUGUUCUUUCACUCUCCACAAUAAAUCUUGCUGCUGCUCAUUCUCUGGGUCCACACCACCUUUAAGAGCCAUAACACUCUCUGCAAAGUUCCGCGGCUUGAUUCCUGAAGUCGGUGAGACCACAAACCCACCUAUAGGAACCAACUCCAGACAAAUCUUGGCAACCCGGAUGGAACUUUCGCCAAGUGGUGGGAAGAUUGUAUUUCCCUUCUCCUUGAGGUUAGACACAGUUACAUGGCUAGUUGAGCCAACAGAAGAGGAGCCGAAGUGAAAUAUGACACUUCCAAGUGAAAGACUAUAACUGCUGAUGCUUUUCUCUCAUCCCUGCCAAGAGCACAAUCACAGAGGUUCAUAUCCAUAUGAAGGCAGUAUCAGAGUGGAGGAGCUUGGAAUGCUGAGCAAACACACGGAGGAACGCUGCUGUGGUGCAUUACAUGGACUCCAGCAGGCUUCGCAUGAGUGACAAAUACACUUCAGUCAAGCCACUGAGAUUAGGCAGUUUGUCCUGCAGCACAGUCUAGCCUAUUUGGAUGUAUCUGAGUUUAGUCAUGGUAGCAUUAUGCAUCCUUGUAGCUGGGAGGGUCAAGUAACAGUUCUAGCAAACAAAAUAUAAAUUGAGGUGACUGGGCAAGUGAGCCUUCUAGGAAAAGCCUUUUAAAGAAACAAAUUCAGCUGGCAUGAGCAGUUUCUAUUUUUGUCCUUCAUUUUCUUGCCUGGAAUGUAGACAUGAUGGCUGGAACUGUAGGAGUUAUCUUGACAGCAUGAGGACUAGGGUCCCAUCCAAUGGUGCAGUGUGGACAGAGGAAAGGAGAUGGGACCCUGCUGACAUCAUGGAGCUGCCAUACUUUGGACUUCCCACAUCUGGGAUUCAUUUACGGGAGAGGAAAACAAACUUUUGUGUUGUUUAACCCACUGUUUUUCAAGUUUCUAUUCCUAACAGCCCAGUGCAAUUUUUAACUGUUAUGGAAGGUACAGAAGUAAUUUUAAUUCUUCCAGUAUUUAUACUAUUAGUUUUUCAUAUUUUUAUUGUGGAAACUUUCAAACAUAUCCAAAAAUACAGACAGUAGUCAUCAUCCAGCUUCAGCAAUGAUCAACUCAUAGCCAAUCAUGC
rnacentral:lncRNA from 10 species